rnacentral:rRNA from 1 species
UCGAGAAUUUUUCACAAUGGGCGCAAGCCUGAUGGAGCGACGCCGCGUGGGGGAUGAAUGGCUUCGGCCCGUAAACCCCUGUCAUUUGCGAUCAACCGUUAUUAUUUAAAAGAUGAUAACCUGAUAGUAGCGAAAGAGGAAGGGACGGCUAACUCUGUGCCAGCAGCCUCGGUAAUACAGAGGUCCCAAGCGGUGUUCGGAUUCCCUGGGCGUAAAGGGUGCGUAGGUUGCGGGGUAAGUCGGAUGUGAAAUCUCGGAGCUCAACGCCGAAAGGGCAUUGGAAACUACCCUGCUCGAGGAUUGGAGGGGGGACUGGAAUACUUGGUGUAGCAGUGAAAUGCGUAGAUAUCAAGUGGAACACCAGUGGCGAAGGCGAGUCCCUGGACAACUCCUGACACUGAGGCACGAAAGCUAGGGGAGCAAACA